ACUUUAACAUGGGAGGUACUUGC
rnacentral:miRNA from 18 species